UACGUAGGGGGCGAGCGUUGUCCGGAGUUACUGGGCGUAAAGGGCGCGCAGGCGGUCUGGCAAGUUUGGAGUGACAGUGCUCGGCUUAACUGAGCAAGGCCUCGAAAACUGCUAGACUUGAGCACUCAAGAGGGGAGUGGAAUUCCUGGUGUAGCGGUGAAAUGCGUAGAGAUCAGGAGGAACACCGAUGGCGAAGGCAGUUCUCUGGGCCGUAACUGACGCUGGAGGAGCGAAAGCGUGGGGAGCGAACAGG
rnacentral:rRNA from 1 species